GAGGGCGUAGCUCAGUGGUAGAGCGUGUGCUUAACAUGCACAAAGUCCUGGGUUCCAUCCCCAGUCCCUCCA
rnacentral:tRNA from 1 species